rnacentral:lncRNA from 1 species
GGAGAACCAGCUCUCCCCCUUCUGGGCCGGCGGUGGAGCGCUCCAGUUAUCAACUCUCCUCGCCCGGUGGCGGUCAGAGCUGCAGAAGUUAAAAUUAGUUGCCGCUGGAGCCGCCGCCCAGCCUCUACGCAGCUGAGGGACUAGCAGGACCCUGCUCAGCCCACGCGGCCGCAGAAAACACUUUGGCGUGGCCGGGGGCGUGGCUGAGGUCGGGCCACGCCCCCUCUUUCCCAAUUCCCUUCCACGCCUGUAUCCCAUUGGUUACGGGGAUAGCCAAUGAGCUUUUGGAUCGAGGUCCUACCCCGGGUCUGACUCGAAAGCUCCUGCCAAAACUUUGGGAGUUUUUAGAGAGGAGAUUUUUUUUGUUGUUCCCCCCCCUCCUCUUAAUACUUUUUUUUUUUUUAAACUAACGGAUUAUUUUUGUUGUUUUAAAUUUAGCUCUUAGGCUUAGCUGUUCGGGUUUUUCUUUCGGUCACCGGCCCCUGUCUCCCGGCUUCUCCCGCGUGUACGGAGCCGCGGUCCCCUCCCGCCUAGUAGUGGCUCCAGCGCUCAGUGUUCGCCUCUGUCCCGCGAGGAGCCGGCGCCGCGCCGCCUUUGACAUAAGACCAGGGGCCGAGACGGUGACCGGCCAAAAUCUGGCCCCCGCCUCCUCCGUCCGAGGCGCUAGGGCUCCCGGCCUCUCUUCUUCAGGGCGGGCGGAGAAGCGAAAGCGGAUCGUCCUCCCCGGGGCCGCCGCCCCUCCCCGCGCACCCACCCAUUCACCCACUCGCUGGGUCAGGCCCGACCGCGGCCGCCGCGCGGCUCACCCGGCUAGUAUGUUCGCGGCCGGGCUGGCUCCGUUUUAUGCCUCCAAUUUUAGCCUCUGGUCGGCCGCUUACUGCUCCUCGGCCGGCCCGGGUGGCUGCUCCUUCCCCCUGGACCCUGCCGCUGUCAAGAAACCCUCCUUCUGCAUCGCAGACAUCCUACACGCCGGCGUGGGGGAUCCAGGGACGGCUCCAGAGGGACUGGUGGGGGCUUCAGCUGCCGCCCUAACCGCGCACUUGGGCUCGAUUCACCCGCACGCCUCCUUUCAAGCUGCCGCCAGAUCCCCGCUCCGUCCCACCCCGGUGGUGGCGCCUUCCGAAGUCCCGGCAGGCUUCCCGCAGAGGCUGUCUCCACUUUCAGCUGCCUACCACCACCAUCACCCACAGCAGCAGCAGCAACAACAACCUCAGCAACAAUCUCAGCAACAGCCGCAACAGCAACAGCCCGCACCUCCGACCCGGGCCGGCUCCCUGCAGACCUCGGCCUCGGGGACCCGUGUGAUCCCGCACCAUAGCGGCUCGACACCGGCUCCCUCCAGCAAAGACCUCAAAUUUGGAAUUGACCGUAUUUUGUCUGCAGAAUUUGACCCAAAAGUCAAAGAAGGCAACACGCUGAGAGGUAGGUCUUUGGUGGGAGACUUCAGGCCUUGAUGAUCACUCCCAAGGCCUCAGGCG